GCUGGCGGCAGGCCUAACACAUGCAAGUCGAGCGGAUGAGAGGAGCUUGCUCCUGGAUUCAGCGGCGGACGGGUGAGUAAUGCCUAGGAAUCUGCCUGGUAGUGGGGGACAACGUUUCGAAAGGAACGCUAAUACCGCAUACGUCCUACGGGAGAAAGCAGGGGACCUUCGGGCCUUGCGCUAUCAGAUGAGCCUAGGUCGGAUUAGCUAGUUGGUGAGGUAAUGGCUCACCAAGGCGACGAUCCGUAACUGGUCUGAGAGGAUGAUCAGUCACACUGGAACUGAGACACGGUCCAGACUCCUACGGGAGGCAGCAGUGGGGAAUAUUGGACAAUGGGCGAAAGCCUGAUCCAGCCAUGCCGCGUGUGUGAAGAAGUCUUCCGGAUUGUAAAGCACUUUAAGUUUGGGANGAAAGGCAGUAACUUAAUACGUUUGCUGUUUUGACGUUUACC
rnacentral:rRNA from 1 species